rnacentral:lncRNA from 1 species
GGUCCAGUUGCAAAUUUCUUUGUAGCUAAAAUCAAUGGAUAUGGAGGCAAUUAAGGAAAGAUUAGCAAACAAACUGGAGCUGCCUUUCCUCCAUUCCCCACAUUCCAAGCCAAGAGAAAAGGAUAAUAGCCUAAAAAGCCAAUGGUAGCUGAGGCUGGUUUCUCCAACCUAUCUGAAAACUCUUUAUGCAAUCAGAGGGCUAUUAUUUCAGGAGACAGAGUGAAGGGGGCAAAAGAUUCACGUUGCUAAGGAGAUCUGCUGAAGCUGGCAUUCCUACAUAAAUUUCCAUUUCUAUUGAAGGGAGAAAGAAAAGAUAUUUUUUCCAAAGUUUAUUUGGAUCCCCUGGUUACCAAAGAAAGGCAUUUUGUGGGUUUAUUUUAUCUUCAGUUGUAAACAACAAAUCCUGAAAGAAUUAAAAAGCCUGAGUGUUGACCUCCUGCUGCCAACCAGUCCCCUUCACUAUGAAUCAAUCAACAAAGAAAGCCUUCAAUAGGUAUUCUGAGGUAACAGCAAAGAAAAAGCCUUUGUAAGCACAAAAUUAAAUUUCUGGAAGGAAUUUAACCAAGUGAACUAAUUUCUCCUAUAACAAAAAACGUAAGACAAAGAAAAGUCGGAUUUGUGUGUGUGUGUGUGUUAGCGCGCGCGCCAGCAUAAAAAAAGCACCAGCAGAGCCUUCCUUUUACAUUCCUUAAUCUGUGCACACACCAGCAGCUGAAGAAACAGAAUUCGAGUAGGAAUAGUUUUCAUCAUGAAAUUUGAAGUUGGCAAAUUCCUAGGAAUGGGACUCUGGAAAUGGGGGGGGGGCGGGGAACAAAACAAAACAAAACAAAAAACAAAAAACUGGAGGGUCAGGAAGAGAAUAAAGCCACAAAGUCCCUUUGAGCUAGUAGCCACAAUGGCUACCGCCCACUAUACCCCGUUUCCCAUCCGCACACAAUUUUCACUGCUUGCUGAAUAAAGCACAACUUUCCAAGCAACUGUGAGUAACUAGCUCAGGAAAAACGGAGUGGAAGAAAGGGGAGUUUCUUACUGUGGGAGUGAAAGAAAGGCAACUCAGAAGCAACAACGGUGUCGCCAAAAAAGGAAAGAAAAUUCAUCAGUCUCUCCUGACUCUCUCGGUAUCCCUCCCCAAAAUUUAAAGGGGAAACACACACACACACACACACACACACAUGAAAAUUCACUCGGAAAAAGCCAUGUAAAGUGAAAUAGAACAGGGGGAAAUGUGGGCCUACAUGAAAACUUGGGCAAAUUUUUCUUAGAGGGUUGGAACAGAGAACCCACGCAGAUUUGGAGCUUUUUACCCAUUUCUUUUUUAACCGGGGGUGUGGAAGGCAUUGCGUCUUUUACACAGCCACAUGGUUCUCGCCCUCAAUGAUAACAAUUGCCCAAAAUAGCCUACGUGUUACUCCAAAGCUGGAGGGAUCAGCAAGGGAGGAGUAGAGGGCGUAGGAGGUCUCUGGAGUCUUGCCUACCCGGACCCCUUCGAGAGAAGGGCACAUACAAGAGGGUCCUGGGGCCCAAGGGCCGAGAAGGUAGGGCAAGGAGGAAAGGAGGGAAGCAAAGGAAAGUGGGGGAGGUGGCUCCCAGAGAGGCGGUGGCAGCAGAGGAGCCCUGGAUGGCCACGCGGGAGCAAGGGGCGCGGCACCGGGGGUGGGGUGGGGGCGCUCACCGCUGCCGAGAGUGGACUCGCAGUGCCAGAUAUCCAGGUUGGCGGGUUUCCGGCAGGACUCCCACAGGGACAAGUAGUACUGGUGGUCCGCGGUGACCCAGGCCGGGCUCAGAACAGCUCCUAGAUCCAGACACAGCGCCAAGAAGAUGCACACCAGCCCGACCAGCUUGAGCGGGGUCAGCACCGACACUCGCACCUCUUCCAUGCCACUGCCAGACGAAGCCAUGCCCGGGCGCCGCUGCCGCCCUUCCCGACGCAGGCGAGAACGCCAGGAGGGUCUGAAGAGCCUGGAGCGGGACCUCCCGAACAGAAAAGCGGCGGCACACCGAGCCAAGAAGUCGUACCUUGGGGCUCAGUUAAGCACACCGAGUGCUCAACGAGACUCGCCUAGCUGGGACGCCUGGCCCUAAGGAGGUCGUCCGCUGCUGCAGCGACAGCAAAAGCACAGAGAAUCUUCAGCAAGCGAUC